GUGAGCACUUUGCUGGUUUGCAGGCUAGAUAGCUAACAUGCUAGCCAGACAAGUCGGCAGCCAGCUCCAUCUAGCUUACUGGCUAACUUUUCCCCUCGCAACAUAAACUGCGCCCGAACAAACGUUUUCUGGCUGAAAUAUAAGGUCCCUUGUAUCGUAUUCUGGCUCCUGAUCUUCACCAUCCAGAAAAGGAGGGGGAUUUCGCAAUGAACUAACCGACAUUGUUUACCUGCUUUUACCAGAAAUGACAAAAACAAAAAAUAAACCGGGUGAGAUCUUUCCAAACUCAGUGAGGAGUGCGA